UUUUUUCACCUUAUCUCCCUUCACUUAAUGUCUGUGUUCUUCUUACCUGUGAUAUAUCUCUUUCUAGAGACCAUUUACAUCAAUUCAGAUCUUGGGAAUACUUCCAAUUUCAGCAAAACACUGGAUAGCUUUGAUGCUUGAGUGGUCCCUCUUAAUAAGAAACUUGCAAUGUGAUGGCCAUUGGUUGCUGAAGUGAACUUCCUUUUAAACGGAGGCAAAGGGUAUGGCAUCUCGUCUUAUGUUAGUUAUUAAUGAUGUUAUAUGUACUGUUACUGAGUAACUAUGGAUUUGUUGCUGCCAUUAUUACAUUUCUGAAGUAGAUAUCUUUUUACAAAGAACUUUAUCCAACAGUUAACCUGCUUAUUCUUAAA